rnacentral:misc_RNA from 1 species
GUUGAUGUUUUGAGCAACAUGAGGCAUCCGAAUCUUGUUACUCUCAUUGGUGCUUGUCCAGAAGCAUGGACUCUUAUCUACGAGUAUCUUCCCAAUGGAAGCCUUGAAGACCCGACUGAACUGCAGGGAUAAUUCUCCUCCUUUGUCUUGGCAAACUCGAAUACGCAUCGCCACUGAGUUAUGCUCUGUCCUUAUCUUUCUUCACUCCAGUAAACCACACAGCAUAGUGCAUGGCGAUCUAAAACCUGCUAAUAUCCUUCUUGAUGCCAAUUUUGUGAGUAAACUAAGCGAUUUCGGAAUCUGUCGUCUACUUUCUCAAAAUGAAGGUGCAAGCAUCAACGCAACAAUAUGUUGCAGAACUGACCCAAAAGGCACUUUUGCAUACAUGGAUCCUGAGUUUCUUUCCUUGGGGGAGCUUAGUCCAAAGUCAGAUGUUUAUUCAUUUGGGAUUAUAUUGCUAAGGCUGUUGACUGGAAGACCAGCCUUGGGGAUAACAAAGGAGGUGCAGUAUGCAUU